UAGACACCAAGCCAUCGGGGUGGUUUGUCUCAGUCCCCACCUCUCCCAGGUCCCCCAAAUAAUUCAUAGUCUCAGGGAAUGAUGAGCUGGCAGCAGCUUUUCCAUUCUUUUCUCAGCAAGUGGUUCUCACCCCAGAUGUCUGUUUUAGAGUACAGAGCCUUGUUUUGUUUUUGUGCUUUAAAUGGAAUUAUUUACUUUUAUUACAGAGAAAGCUUUUCUUCUGAUCUCUGUUGCCUGCUGGCUGGGGGUCAGGAAGCUUGAAACCUUGGCCCCAUGCUCUGAGCCAUUCUUGAUGUCAUUCUGGAAGGUCUCUGGAUUGUUUUGACAAAGACUUAAAUUACUGGGAACCGAAGGCCCAUGGGACGUGACCAACUCAGCAUUCCACUGGAGGCUGUAUGAUCAAACAGCAAUCUGUUUAUCAUGAAUGCAGGAUUUGAGCAAACUCAUGACUGCUCCUGCCAACAGAAGGUUUGCUGGAGGCAAUCACUGCCUGGCGCCGAGGAUAUCUACUGCGACAUCUAGAGAAUACAGUCUUGCAAGCCUACUCUGGACUGAGCAGCUGACCCCUUCUUUCACCACCCCCACCUUCUCACUGUCUCUUUUGCCUAAUAAAUACGGAGGGCUGUGUAAAGCUCAGAGCCCUUGUCCACUAGAGGAAGGUGCCCCCGACCUCUUCUUCCAAAUAUACUCUUUUGUCUCUUGUCUUUAUUCACGUGUUCACCCCGCUUUGUUCAGUCCAACAGGUUCGCGGCAUAGUGGCACCCCAAACAGCGACAGGAUCGGGUGUUCUACAAAUAUUCACCAAAAUUCAUGCAUAAAAAUCUUCACUGACUUAAUUAUAAUAUUAAAAACAACAGAAACAUGACGCUGCACUAAAGAAGGCAGACAAAUGAUUUUAUGCCAUAGGAUUCCAUUUCUAUACAUUUUAAACAGAUAAAACUAAGUUGUGCUUUUGAGGUAGCAUAGUGAUUAUUUUGGAAGAGGUAUUGAUGGGAAGGAAUGUUUCUGGGAGGUAGAUGAUUUUUUAUUCCUUGAUUUGAAUUUUGGGUACACAAAUGUGUUCAGUGUAUAAAAUCCAUUGAACUUUAUAUUUAUGGUUUGUGUACUUUCCUUUGUUAUGUAAAUCUUCACUAUAAUUUCAAUUAAUCAAAAUAUCGCUAACAUGAAA
rnacentral:lncRNA from 1 species